UAAUGAUUUUUCAGUACUUAUAAUUAUGACAGUCAUUAAUUAACUGUGUUUAUCCUUUCUAGAAUUAAAACAAUAAACAGAGGAAAACAUUGGAACUCUGCUGCUUCAUUAUUAACAGAAUCUGACAAGUUACUAAACAAUACAAGGCAAAAUAUUCCAUUUCUCCAAGAUUUCUUUAUCUCUUUAAACUUUCAAAAGAUUGAUUCUUCCC
rnacentral:lncRNA from 1 species